GGCCUCACGAACCUCCUCAAUCCAAGGUUCCAUCUGAGCUCUGUGCUGAGAGUUAAAGAGAGAAAGAGAAAGAGAAAACUCGGUACAUGCUCUCAGGCUUACUCAAGAGACAAUAAUUGCAUUAAAAUGUCAUUAGGGAGCUCCACUAAUGAGAAGGAUAGAAGCCUCAAGCUCCCAGAGACACAGGAAGCAGAAAGAAAGUCCACACAUCAGAGGCGACUUGGAAAAGGUCUAACACAAUGGGACACUUAAAAAAAUGCCAAUUAUAUAGUAGGGGCAAAUAGUGUUUCAUGAACAGGACAUAGGGAUUCUGUUUGAGAAGAGGCCUCCAUGAACAAAGACAGGGAUAUGCUUGGCCCUAAAGGGCCCACCAUAUCUUCCCAUUUCUGAAAGGAUAGCAGAACACACGGAUGGAGAUGCAAUUUGGGGCAGUUUGGGGCACGAGGCAUUAGACGUGCCCAGGAAGAACGGCAAGGAUCUCGGGCAGUCAUGACAACACUAUUUCUUCCUAACCUGUCUUGCUCUUUAUGAAACUGAUGGGUAUAUUUCAAAGUUUAUAACCUUCCUAACAAACCAGGGACAUGGUUGUUAUUACAUACUCCCCUUAAGAAAGUAUCUUCCCUUGAUAGGCGGGGUGGCUCACACCUGUAAUCCCAGCACUUUGGGAGGCCAAGGCAGGAGGAUCACUUGAGGCCAGGAUUUCAAGUCUAGCCUGGCCAACAUGGUGAAACCCUGUCAACCAGGUGUGGUCCUUCCCUAAACAGCCACCUAACUAACAAACUUUGGGAACACAGUCCCUGGAGGUAUGGAAAGAAUACCACCACAUCAGAAGCCAAGAGAUCAGGGGUCAGCGCUAGUAAUUUAAUCUGUGACCCUUGAUCAAGUUUCUUAACCUGCACACCUCAGCUGGCUUCUCUGUAAGCUGUGAGAUCCACCCAACAUAUGGGGCUUUCUGAAUGACUGAUUCCCGCGAUCCAGGCCCAGGGCAUGACCAACGACUGCCUUCCCAUCGCUCCCUCUUCCUUCCAGCCCCUAAGCUCAUCUGAUUCUAUGACUUAAAGGAAUGGUAUAGAAAACUAAAUGCCAUAGGUAUGUAAUUUUCUUUAAUUUUUGUUUUUAUUUUAAGUUCUGGGAUACAUGUGCAGGACGUGCAGGUUUGUUACAUAGGUAAAAAAAAAAAAAAAAAAAAAAAAAAAAAAAAAAAAAAAAAAAAUUACAGCACUAUUCACAAUAGCAAAGA
rnacentral:lncRNA from 1 species